rnacentral:misc_RNA from 1 species
UUAGUACCGCAGCUAACGCGUGAAGUUGACCGCCUGGGGAGUACGGCCGCAAGGCUAAAACUCAAAGGAAUUGACGGGGACCCGCACAAGCGGUGGAUUAUGUGGAUUAAUUCGAUGCAACGCGAAAAACCUUACCUACCCUUGACAUGUGCGGAACGGGACAGAGAUGUCUUGGUGCCCGAAAGGGAACCGCAACACAGGUGCUGCAUGGCUGUCGUCAGCUCGUGUCGUGAGAUGUUGGGUUAAGUCCCGCAACGAGCGCAACCCUUGCCAUUAGUUGCUACAUUCAGUUGGGCACUCUAAUGGGACUGCCGGUGACAAACCGGAGGAAGGUGGGGAUGACGUUAGAGAGUACGUCC